rnacentral:rRNA from 1 species
GAUGAACGCUGGCGGCGUGCUUAACACAUGCAAGUCGAACGGAAAGGCUCCUGCUUGCAGGGGUACUCGAGUGGCGAACGGGUGAGUAACACGUGGGUGAUCUGCCCUGCACUUCGGGAUAAGCCUGGGAAACUGGGUCUAAUACCGGAUAGGACCACAUUUUGGAUGGUGUGGUGGGAAGUUUUUCGGUGUGGGGUGAGCUCGCGGCCUAUAAGCGUGUUGGUGGGGUAUUGGCGUACCAAGACGUCGACGGGGAGCCGGCCUGUGAGGGUGUACGGCCACAUUGUGGCAGUGAGAUGGGCCAGACUCUUACAGGGGGCAGCAGUGGGGGAAAUAGCACAAUGUGCGCGAGCGUGAGGUAGCGACGCGGCGUGUGGGAGGAGAGCGUUCUCGUUGUAAACACCUCUUGCUAGUGACGAGGCGCGUUUGUGACGGUACCUGGAGAAGAAGCACCGGCUAACUACGUG